rnacentral:rRNA from 1 species
CUUGAAACACGGACCAAGGAGUUUAUCGUGUACGCAAGUCAUCGGGUGAAUAAAACCCAAUGGCAAAAUGAAAGUAAAAAGUUGAGUACAUGAUUAGAGGAUUUAUUCCUUUUUUUAUCAUGUCUCUCUUAAGGGAAGAUAAAAGUUUAAUUAAUAAUAUAUUUAUAUAUUUUAUUAAUAUAAAUUUUUCGCACUCCCAGGGCGCUUGUUUCACGCUUUGCGUGUCAAUGCGCACCUAGAGCGUACACGCUGAUACCCGAAAGAUGGUGAACUAUGCCUGGCCAGGACGAAGCCAGGGGAAACCCUGGUGGAGGUCCGCAGCGAUUCUGACGUGCAAAUCGAUCGUCGGAGCUGGGUAUAGGGGCGAAAGACCAAUCGAACCAUCUAGUAGCUGGUUCCCUCUGAAGUUUCCCUCAGGAUA